UCCAUAGCGGUAGGCAGAUAG
rnacentral:misc_RNA from 1 species